UACGGAGGGUGCUAGCGUUGUUCGGAAUUACUGGGCGUAAAGGCGCGUAGGCGGCCGUUUGCGUCGGAUGUGAAAGCCCGGGGCUCAACCUCGGAACGGCAUUCGAUACGGGACGGCUGGAGACCGGGAGAGGAGAGUGGAAUAGCCAGUGUAGAGGUGAAAUUCGUAGAUAUUGGCUGGAACACCGGUGGCGAAAGCGGCUCACUGGCCCGGUACUGACGCUGAGGUGCGAAAGCGUGGGGAGCAAACAGG
rnacentral:rRNA from 1 species